rnacentral:rRNA from 1 species
UACGUAGGGGGGCGAGCGUUGUCCGGAUUUAUUGGGCGUAAAGAGCUCGUAGGCGGCUUGGCAAGUCGGGUGUGAAACCUCCAGGCUCAACCUGGAGACGCCACUCGAUACUGCUAUGGCUAGAGUCCGGUAGGGGACCACGGAAUUCCUGGUGUAGCGGUGAAGUGCGCAGAUAUCAGGAGGAACACCGGUGGCGAAGGCGGUGGUCUGGGCCGGCACUGACGCUGAGGAGCGAAAGCGUGGGGAGCGAACAGG